UCCUACGGGAGGCAGCAGUGGGGAAUAUUGCACAAUGGGCGCAAGCCUGAUGCAGCAACGCCGCGUGAGGGACGACGGCCUUCGGGUUGUAACCUCUUUAGUAGGGAAGAAGCGAAAGUGACGGUACCUGCAGAAAAAGCACCGGCUAACUACGUGCCAGCAGCCGCGGUA
rnacentral:rRNA from 1 species